GUGAUAAGCUGCGAUAAGCUUCGGGGAGUUGCACGUAAACUUUGAUCCGAAGAUUUCCGAAUGAGGAAACUCACUUAGAGUAAUGUCUAAGUAUCAUUAAGUGAAUACAUAGCUUAAUGAGGGGAACUCAGGGAACUGAAACAUCUAAGUACCUGAAGGAAGAGAAAGAAAUUCGAUUCCGUAAGUAGCGGCGAGCGAACGCGGAUUAGCCCAAACCAAUAAAGUUUUCUUUAUUGGGGUUGAGGACAUACCACAUAUAAGAGGUCAUUAUAGACGAAGAAGUUUGGAAAAACUCAUCAUAGAAGGUAAUAAUCCUGUAGUCAAAAUAAUAAUUCUUUAGGUAUGAUCCAGAGUACCACGGGACACGUGAAACCCUGUGGGAAGCAGGAGGGACCACCCUCCAAGGCUAAAUACUACCUAGUGACCGA
rnacentral:rRNA from 1 species